UAUAAAAACAAACAAAAUACAUCCUUAGGAUUACACAUAUCCCUAUGGUAGCAAUUUUCCACAAUCCAUUAUUACCAGUGAAAAUAUUUGCAUUUGCCUGUGUUUCUAGAAAAUAAUACAUUGUGUAGUGAACAUGGCUUUAUAGCAAAGGUUAAUUGUGUAUGUAUUUGAUAUGUUUUCUUAGCUAUAAUGAAAAUGGACUAGGGGGUAGGGAAAAUCACAAAUUAUGAGCAUAUAUUUUUAUCAUCAUUUAUUAAAAUCAGCCAAAAAAUAAAAGCCUCAGUGAAAAUUAGCCUCAGACUAAUAUAGAUAAUAAUAAUAAAAGCCUCAGACUAAAAUGACAGGACAUGGACACGUCCAAUAGUAAGCUAUUAAAUCAGCUUCCCAAAUAAUGCCCUGAUUUGUGGAUGUGUUCCAAUUCUGUGAUAUAAAUACCACCAACAUAGCUAAUUCUGAGAUGACAAGAUAAUAUCACUGAGCAGAGCUGGGAAGAGAUGCCCAACAGCAAACUCCAGUACACCACUGUUUACACAGAAUAGCUCAUUUAAUCUUCACAACAAGCCAUAUUUAUAUUUUCCGAGUGUGUUUGUACUAAAUGGAUUCAAUAACUAUUAAUAGCAUUAAUGAAUUAAUUUACUUCAGUUGCAUGAAGCAUCUGAGGAGAAUAAUAUUUAGAAUUGAUAUUUACUGAGCACAUACUAUAUACCAAGUUCCAUGAUAAAGUGUUCAUAUAUAAAUUCAUUGCAUCUUUAAAAUGACACUAUGUGGUAGGUACUCUUAUUUAUAUAUGAAGAAACUGAGGUCCAAAAAGGCUUAAAUAACUUGCCAAAGGUCCUACAAAUAGUAAGUGUUGACCAAGAUCUAGAGUGGUUAACCAAUGACCUAUAUUACUUCUUAGUUCCUUUGAACAUGUUAAGUGCUGACAUGACUUAGCAACAAAAUGGAAUACAUAGAAAAUAGUUACAUAAUUCAUGACAGUGUAAAACAUAUUUCACUCAGAGUUUCGGUAUUUUUGAUGACAGAGCCUGCUUCAUUAAAAUAAAAUUAUAUACCUAUUGUCCCAUUAAGCCUAUUGUGAAUUACAUAUCAUAGGCAUGCAACAGAUGUUUGGCAACUAAAUGCAGACACCUGGACAUCACAUAUAUAUGGGACCCUGACAUAGAGCAACCCUUGGUGAGUUAUCCUCAAUAGCCUAGGCCAGGUCUCAUGAGGUAUUUAUUUAUUUAUUUAUUUUUAAAGUAGCCUACUUUGCUUUCUCCCAUUAAAUGUAAGUCAACUAUUCUAUUUCCUAACCACCUCCCCUUCCCCACGUGAGGAGGAAAGGAUAAAGUAUUUAUUUAAUAUGGAGGGUGCAUGUCAGGAAAAAGUGAAGAUUUGUUCUGAAAGAGGAAAUAGUGGAAGAGCAAAUACAAUGGAUCACUAAAUAUGAAGUUUCCAUAGGAAGCAAUUUUCUUCUCCCCUGGGAAUCCUAGGAAAUGCGGGCAGAGUGCAAACAUGUGGUCCUAAGAAGCUCUUUAGUCAUCUACCAGCUAAGACCCUGGCUUUUUGGCUGGAAUCACUCCCUGGGAAUUCAACUCACACUAGCCCCAUCAUCAUUUCUUAGUUUGUUUAGCCUGAGUGGCUAGGGCUUCUUUCCUUUUUUAAAGGGAACAAUUUAAACCAGAUUUUUUAAAUCCAUGCUAUUAAUUCUAUCCUUCUGUGGGUUCCAGGUUAUUAGAAAAUUCUAAUGUUGUUAUCAGAUCCUAUUUCUCCCCUAACCUUUUCCUUAAAUUCUUUCUGAUAGGGGCUAGGAUGCAGGCAAGCAGUCUGGGUUAAAGAGACUGAAAGACCCCAUCAAAGAUUCUCACAUAAGUACAUUGACGUCUUGAGACGAAGAGAGGGAAACCAACUGCCUGAACACCCGCUAAAAGGUCCAUUCCUGACACACUUUAAAGUUUAUUGUGAGCAAACAUCUCUUGUUAAAUGUAAACAGCAUCUCACUGGAGGUCACAGACUUGCUGCUGCAGCAUAUCCCAAGGUAAUACCACUUUAAGCUCCACAUAAACUCUUAAGCAGUUUCUAUCCUAAAACCUGACCGUAGGUGGUACUGUUUUUUACGAUAUGUUAUAAUAGUGCAAUAAAUCUGUUAGCUUAAAAUCGAAUCUCCGUGGCCUUUUAGAGAAAUCAUCAUUAAAUGCAGGGUCCUGUUAAUGAUGCCAUCGAAGUGAAAUUGUUUAAUCUGCUAAGGGGGUGAAAGGUCAUCAAAUGAAUUUUUUAUAAUACAUCAACUUGACACGCAAUAGGGAAAACUGUAAUAGAUAAAAGCAAAGGAAAAGGGCACUGUCUUCUUCUGAUAGGUCAAUAGCAGCCAAGAGAGUCACUCAUCCACUUUCCUUUCAUGAUGGGCUCCUUUUGCAUUUAAUAUGGACACCCAAUUAAUACCUCAGCACCACAGACAACCUCAUUUUAGGUGACUUAUAGCAAUUUCUCCCCCUUCCCUGAAAUGAAAGUGAUCACAAUACAUCAUAGCAUUGUGCGAAUUAACGUUAAUUGAUUCAAGUUACCAAGCAAUGAUGGGCCACUUAUAUAAUCUAGGCGUUAUUGGGUGCUAGAAGGGAUGGAGGGAAGAUUAGAUUCCAGUGUCCGUUGCUGUGACGACGGGAGUCACCUGAUGCCUUGUUAGACAGUUGUAAGGUUCUAUUGCUGGCCCCAGUGGGGUCGUCAGUAAACUGGAGUGAUGUCCAAACAUCAUUACAUGCUGCUCCAAUAUUAAAGCAAAGGGAUUAGCAACUUAUUGCAAGCAACCUGGAUUUGUCAUUGUGCUGUCGUUAUCCAAUUUCCAACUGCUAAUGUGACUGUAGCCUGCAGGCAGAAGGACCUACAGCCAAACUUUAAAAAAUGGGGGAGAAAAGUUCCCUCCAUUCAUCCCAGUUUUUACCAUUAUUUAAUAGCUUCCAAUACCCAGUUAGGUAUGUGAGAGAUUUUUUUUUCUGCAAUGCUUAAAUGCAGGCUAUAGGAGAAAAGUCAAGAAAAUACAGAAAUUUCCCAAUUAAGAGAUCACUCCUAUUCAUGUCAUUAUUCUUGCUUUUCGAUUCCACCAGAUCUGAAAUGUUUACCCUGUAGAAGAUGGAAUUAUUUCUAUUUGCAUGGAAAACUCAGAAAGCAAAGACAAUGAGCUCAUGAGCAACUUGAGUACAGAUAUCAGCCUUAUUCACCUUUGCAUAUGUCCUUCUGCUCCCAUAUACUCAACCAGUGCCCGAUAUACAAACCAAGAGAGAAGAAACAUCAACAUUUCCUGAAAAGUUGAACUUGUAGCUGUACUUGAAGGACUGUGAGAUAACAGAACUAAAUGUUAGAAGCAGCCUGGUUCCCUGAGUCACCACCAGGAGGGCAGCUACCAGGAGAGUCACCCAACCUUCUUCAGGCUGAGAUGUGAGUAAAACAAAGUUUUUCUAUUCUUAAACAACUGAGAUUUGGAGAUUAUUUGUUAAUUGGAGUAACUCUGUCUCAUACAAUAUCCAUGUUUUAUGUAAAUAAAGAAAAUUUAAAAAGUAAGUACAUACAGAGAGGCAAUGAACAAAUAAUGCUGAGGUCCCAGUUAGUUUAGAAGCAAAAGGAAGAGAAAAAUACAAGCAAUCUGACAUUGUGACCUACACUACAGCUACCAUUUAAAGAGGCUCCAAGGGGAUCUAUAGGACAUCGUUGUCUUCAUUCUGUGCUCUUGGAAGUUCACUAAGAAAUGACUGUGGAUAAGGUUUGCCCUGCUAGAUAUUCCCCCACUUGAUGGCCAGCUUAAAACUGAUUUAGAAGAUUUUAGAGACUGCUAGGGAUUCACAGCUUUACUAAGGUCUGAAAAGCAAGCACUUAAGCAGCAUACUGCAUGCCAAGAAACAAAAUCAGAAGGUACAAGCAGCUGGUUUGACCUUUGAGAAAAGUUUGGCAAAAGGGCAAGAGCAUAUUUAUAACUCCUAUGGGACAGUUCAUGUGCUUUCCAUUGGACUUGCUCUGUGUCAAAGGCCAAUUUCCAUCCAUUAUGAUUCACUAAGUUAGUUUUAUGAAUAUUAUGUUUAGAGAAAAUCACACACUGGGUCAAAAGCAAAAUUAGAGCAUAUCCAUCAUUGGGAAGUUUAUCAUUUCACCAACUAUAAAAUUCUUUUUGCUUGAAUUUAAGGCUGAUUUUCCCUGAAAUACAUGAUUUUCCAGAUAAAACUAGCCACUGAUCUUUCAAGAAUAGUUUUCUGGGUCAAUAGAAGCCGCCUUCUGGGAAAAUAUUACACCCCAUUACACAUCUGGCCAAUUCUUUGAGGCCAUUCAAACUGUUAGGAGUAAGAGUGGGAGAAUUCCUUCCUGUCCUCUGAGACAAUCAUUUUAUACCCCAAAACUUCAACCUCGUUAUUCUUAUCUUAGGGCAUAAUUACAAUGUUAUUAUUGGUCAUAAAAUUAACCAGAUUUUCCUCUCUUUUCUUUUCCUCUUCAGCAUUUGACUCCCUGACCUUCUUCAACAGAAAAGUCUAUGGGCUGAUUAUACGCUAAGAAUAGAAGUAUUUCCUCUUACUUGUUUUAAAUUUUCCCACUGUUAAUUUCUUUGAGAGCAUACUUGUUCUCAUAUUACAAAACAAUGUUAAAAAAAAUUUUUUUAAAGAAUUUUUACUACUUCUAUAAAAUCUGAAAAUUUUUGCUCUUGUAUCCCAGUGUUUCUGAGAUUGGUCCCUUUCGUUAUCUCACCAUCCAGAGGUCCUAGCCUACAUUUACGUUGGCCUAUAGUUACAUGAUUCAACUUAUAACCUAAGGCCCCUUGCCAGUUGCUCCCUGCACUUCACUUUACUAUUUCCCGAAGCAACUUCUUUGUUUUAGUUGAGGAGGGUUGCUACCUUCCUGUGGCAGUGGUUGCCAAAGUAUUGUUUUAAGAAUCAUUACCAGGCCAUGUAAGGACUUGGUAGAAAAAAUGGUUUUAUAGGUUAGCAGUCUGCUGGUGUGAGGGGUGGAAGAUAUGGUGGAGCCUUGGAAAACUCACUGUCAGGAAAACACAGCUAUACCUCCUAUGCAGACACUUUGCUCAACAGCACUUAGGCACAACUUACCUGCUGUCUAACCCAGAACUCCAUCCAAAUUCCAUUCCACUUAUCCACGUCUGACACUUCUUAAGUUUCUAUAAAGAUUUUUCUAACACUCUUUCUCUGCUGAUCACUGGCUGACAAAAUUCAUUCUAUAAUUCACUCUGAAAUUGACAGCAUUGUCCUAGAUGGAUGGCAUGCUUGGAUGACAGCACCUAAAUCUUACCUAGAGAUUCAAGGUGAGAAGGUUUUUGAACCCUUAACUCAUGUUCACCUUGUAAAGAAGGAUGAUCAUCCUUCUACUGUUUAUAUUAAAAUGAUUAGACUUGGUAAUCUUUAAAACCACAACAAAAGCUGGACUUCUUUCCAAAGAACCAGAACGCUUUACCUCUGACUUUGUCUUCUGCUAAUUCCCUUCCUGGUCAUUCUGCUCAAGCCACUCUGACUUCCUUGCUAAUCCUCACACACUGCAGGCACUCUCCCCACUUGGGGACUCUGCCAAGGCAGAUCUCUCUACUUUUCUCCCAGGUGUUCCUGUGGCUCAAUCCCACACCCUCUUCUCUGUCUCCUUCUCAGUGAGGCCUACUUUGGUCAGCCUAUGUACAAGCAUUCUUUUUGCUUUCUAUGAUGCUCUACAUUUUUUCUUUUGUCUAUAGCACUUAUAACUUUAUAAUCUACUAGAGAAUUUACUUAUUUAUUAUGUAUAUUACUUAGUCACUCCUCUAAGUAAGCUAAGAAAGUAAGCCCUAUGAGAGCAGGGUUAUUUGUCUAGUUUUGACACUUUACAACUAGCCAGAAAAGCACCAGGCACAUAGUAGACUCAGUAAUAUGUGUUAAAUUGAAUAAACUUAAUGCAUCCAUUCGUUUUCAAUGAUUAACUCUAGAAUUUUCCUGAUUCGCUCAGAUUGAAAUUGAACAUUCAAGUUGAAACUAUGAUCUACUCACUUGCAUGUUUGAAAUCUACAAGGACAACUUUCUAAAAAUAUUUUGCAAGGACUGUAUAUUUCAUAUGUCUUUCAGAGGCCAGAUAUGAAGUUACAUUUUCUCAGGUACUCCACUUUCUCUUGGUUUUCAGAAAAGUUGAUGUUCUUGCCCUCCUGAAAUCAUGGCACCAAAAACGGGGAUGUAAGUUCUUUCAUUGUCAAGAGUGAAUGAGAAGGAAAGGGGAAAAGAGGAGCAGGGAAGAAAUGGAUAAUACUAUUUCUAGUACCCUUCCUUCACAGAGAGGAAUGAAUUAAACAUGAGGCAAGAAGGUCACCAAGUUAGUUAGGCAUAUGAAUUAAAUCAGAUUGUCUGAAGAAAGUACUCUAUGAAGAUAGGGCACAGAGAAAGAAUACAACAAAAAUCAGAUGAUAAAAAAUGAAAAAAAAAGUUGCAUUUGUAUGGCACAUUUUAAUAUGUUAAGUACUAAUAAUAACUCUUGCCAUUAUGUGUUAAUAAUAGAUCCUUUUCUGUAUCAGCUAUAUUGUAUGCAUUAUAUAUAAAUGUUGACAACAUGAAAGAUAAUUCCUGUAUUUCUAUUCUACAGAUAACUAAACCUAAGCUCAUGGUGUUAAAUAUCCAUAGACACCCAUCUAUUCAGUGGCCAGCAGGGCCUGAAGCCAUAUGAUAGCCACCAUUGCACACAUUUUGCCACCAUGUCACCUGUUAUCAUUUGCCCUUCACAACAACUUUAAAAGGCAGAAAUAAGAGGUGGGAUUUCCAUUUGCCUGAUGAAAAAACUGAGUUUCUUAAAAUUUAGUACUUGCCCAAAGACAAAGUGAAUUAAUUAAAUACUGGUCUCUUGACAUCUGUGUCUAAUGUUCUUGUCAUAACAUGAUGUUCUUGUCAUAACAUGAUGCUCUUGGUGUUGGUAAUAAAACUAAUGUUUCUCAAAUAGAGGAUGAAUUUGUGAGUUAGUAAAUCAGUUCAGUUUUGACACUGCAAUCUCCAAAGAGAUCCUAAAAUUAUUUUCAUAUUUUCAAACGAUGUGGAUUAAUACUCAGUAUCAGAUUGCAUUCUACAAAUAGUAUUGCCUUGAGAUCCAUCCACUUGAAUUAACCAAAAAAUACUACUAAUUAACUAGACUUGAGAAAGGGCUGGUACUAGGCAAUGUGACUUUUUUAUGUCAUAUGUCACCUGGAUUACAUUUUCACUCUGAUGUACAUGUCAUUGACAGCAGUAGGCUGCUAGAAUUUGACACCAUGAAUUUAUCUGAUGAAGUGCACAGAAAGAGAUCUGUUUAUUAAUUCGUAAGCACAAUCUAGAGCCAUUUUAUAAUACAGUAUUUCCCCCUUCACAGAAUGAAUCAGUACUUGACUGAUUUAAGUAUAAAAUGCCUUGGUUUGUUAAACACAACCCCAUAUUGGGGAGAAUUGGACUUGGGUUCUACUAGCAGUUGUCCCAAAAUUUGCUAUUCUUAAACAAGUUGUCUUCCCUCUCAGGACUUCAAAGUCACCAUCAAAAACUUAGAAACAUCUCAAGUUAACAACCUAAUAUCACAACUAAAACAACUAGAGAACCAAGAGCAAACAAA
rnacentral:lncRNA from 1 species